rnacentral:rRNA from 1 species
ACGAAGUUGUGGGCAACUACAACUUAAGUGGCGGAAGGGUUAGUAAUACAUGAAUAACUUGCCUUGUGCCUGGGGAUAACGAUCGGAAACGGUCGCUAAUACCGAAUGAAGUCGUGGAUGGAAUCAUCUACGAUAAAAGUGGGGGACCUAGUAAUAGGCCUUGCGGCACAUGAGAGGUUCAUGCGAUAUCAGCUUGUUGGUGAGGUAAGAGCUCACCAAGG